UGGGGAAUCUUGGACAAUGGGCGCAAGCCUGAUCCAGCCAUGCCGCGUGAGUGAAGAAGGCCUUCGGGUUGUAAAGCUCUUUUUACCAGGGACGAUAAUGACGGUACCUGGAGAAUAAGCCCCGGCAAACUUCGUGCCAGCAGCCGCGGUAAUACGAAGGGGGCUAGCGUUGUUCGGAAUUACUGGGCGUAAAGCGCACGUAGGCGGAUUGUUAAGUCAGAGGUGAAAUCCCGGAGCUCAACUUCGGAACUGCCUUUGAUACUGGCAAUCUAGAGUCCGGAAGAGGUUAGUGGAAUUCCCAGUGUAGAGGUGAAAUUCGUAGAUAUUGGGAAGAACACCAGUGGCGAAGGCGGCUAACUGGUCCGGUACUGACGCUGAGGUGCGAAAGCGUGGGGAGCAAACAGGAUUAGAUACCCGAGUAGUCCCUGAGCGGGCUGGCAAGGCGCAU
rnacentral:rRNA from 1 species